ensembl:lncRNA
UGUUGAUUUUCUUUUCUUUUUUUUUUUUUUUUCUUUCUUUAGCCCUGAUACAGUGGUCACUAUCAAAAUUAUAAUUGUUGUCUUUUCAGUUUUCCAGCUGGUGCUGCUUCUUUGAAUACCUGUUUGCACUGGGAGGCCACUAGAUGUGGUUCAGAGGAAGCCUGCCAAAAUUUCAGAACUCUGCAUCUUCUCCUUGAGGGCAGACCACUCUCCUAGUGGCCUCUGGAAGCCUGUAUCGAGAUCAAAACUUUGUAAUUCACUUUGCUACAUGGUGAAAUAAGACGUGUUUUUUCUCUUCCCACUCUCCAGAGUUGCUGUCCUUUACUGCCUUUUAGAGGUGAUUAUCACUCCAUUGCUGGCUUCCGGAUUCCAUCCUCCCUCUGAUCCAAGAUCUGUCCUCUCUGGUCUGAAACACUGAUAUCACAGAAGAAAUCAGUUUUUCUGGUUCAGGCUAUUCAGAACUGUUGUUCUUGAGCAAAACAGCCAAAAUAAGAAGAAAGUCUCAAUGCACAAGGAUACUGAGUUGCUCAAGCAUGUGCAAAAAAAGACCAAUGAAGCUGGUGAAGUGACUAGUAAACAAGAUUUAUGAGGAGUGGCUCAGGACACGUGGACUGCUCCACCCUGUAGUGAGAAACACGUCUUUGGUGACACGGGUCCGCAAGCAGUCUGCUUCAAAACUGCAGGUUGAUUAAAAAAGAAAAAAAAAACCUACAAUGUUCACACUGCAGGAGUAUCUGUUCUUAAAACCAUUUACAAUAAAGAGGAAACAAAAUAAAAAUAUUGAGAAUGAAGUGGAAAAAUAAAGUAUGUGAUAUGGAGAAGUCAAUUUCGUUAAGAGAUCUGAAGAAAGAGAUGAGAGUAGAAAGGACCCCCAGGUCCUUCUCUGCAGGUCUACUCUCAAGGACUGCUCCUUCCAGUCUGUAUAAAUGCCUGGGAUUCCUCUGGCCCAAGUGCACAACCUUGCACUUCAUUGUGUUGAACCUCAUUAGAUUCACCCAGGCCAACUUUCAAGUCUGUUGAGGUCUCUCUGAAUGACAUCCUUUCCUUCCACCGUGUCAACUGUACCACUCAGCUUGGCGUCAUCAGCAAACUUGUUGAAGGUGCAAUCAAUUGUCAUCACAUGCCAAGUCUCUGAAGGGUAACUUUGUACGAGCUCUCCUACAUUCCAUGUAUUUUUGUGGUGAUGGAACCAUGGUGUGAUAAGAGCUUAUGGGGAGUCAGGUGAGUGAUUUCAUGUCUUCACUUCCAGGAAUGGAGACACACAACUGCAUGCAACUACUUCAUUGUUUAUGGUAGCAAAGAGCAAGUCUCCUUGCAUUCAGUCAACAUUUGUGUUUGUAGAUGAUAGCCAAUUCUAGCUUUGUUCAAGUUCUAGGAAAAAAGUGUUUUUGAUUUACCCAAGAGAAAGUCCUCCAAUUAUAUACCAACAGGAGAAGCACUGUGUUGUUGAUCCGAAUCUAGCACCAAUUUCUCUGUGGAUAAUGGUGUCUGGAGAGAAUGAUAUAUAGACAGAUAGAUAGAUAAAUACUAGCCUAAUAAAAGAUAACAUCAAUCUUAAAAGCUUUGUCUUGCUUGCAUCCUUAAAUCACUGGAGCUAUCAGAAGGUAAGUU